rnacentral:rRNA from 1 species
GCGUAAAGAGCUCGUAGGCGGUUUGUCGCGUCUGCCGUGAAAGUCCGGGGCUCAACUCCGGAUCUGCGGUGGGUACGGGCAGACUAGAGUGAUGUAGGGGAGACUGGAAUUCCUGGUGUAGCGGUGAAAUGCGCAGAUAUCAGGAGGAACACCGAUGGCGAAGGCAGGUCUCUGGGCAUUAACUGACGCUGAGGAGCGAAAGCAUGGGGAGCGAACAGGAUUAGAUACCCUGGUAGUCCAUGCCGUAAACGUUGGGCACUAGGUGUGGGGGACAUUCCACGUUUUCCGCGCCGUAGCUAACGCAUUAAGUGCCCCGCCUGGGGAGUACGGCCGCAAGGCUAAAACUCAAAGGAAUUGACGGGGGCCCGCACAAGCGGCGGAGCAUGCGGAUUAAUUCGAUGCAACGCGAAGAACCUUACCAAGGCUUGACAUGGACUGGAAAUACCUGGAAACAGGUGCCCCGCUUGCGGUCGGUUCACAGGUGGUGCAUGGUUGUCGUCAGCUCGUGUCGUGAGAUGUUGGGUUAAGUCCCGCAACGAGCGCAACCCUCGUUCUAUGUUGCCAGCGCGUUAUGGCGGGGACUCAUAGGAGACUGCCGGGGUCAACUCGGAGGAAGGUGGGGACGACGUCAAAUCAUCAUGCCCCUUAUGUCUUGGGCUUCACGCAUGCUACAAUGGCCGGUACAAAGGGUUGCGAUACUGUGAGGUGGAGCUAAUCCCAAAAAGCCGGUCUCAGUUCGGAUUGGGGUCUGCAACUCGACCCCAUGAAGUCGGAGUCGCUAGUAAUCG